GGAGGUUGAUGAGGUCACCUGAUAGGACAAAGGACAUUUAUUGUCACAUGCACCAAAUGGUGUAGUGAAAUUUGUCUUGCCAUGCAGCGUACACAUAAAGAUUAGACAUAACAUUAAAGAAAUUUAAC